AGAGUUUGAUCAUGGCUCAGGACGAACGCUGGCGGCGCGCCUAACACAUGCAAGUCGAACGAGCGAGAGAGAGCUUGCUUUCUUGAGCGAGUGGCGAACGGGUGAGUAACGCGUGAGGAACCUGCCUCAAAGAGGGGGACAACAGUUGGAAACGACUGCUAAUACCGCAUAAGCCCACGGCUCGGCAUCGAGCAGAGGGAAAAGGAGCAAUCAGCUUUGAGAUGGCCUCGCGUCCGAUUAGCUAGUUGGUGAGGUAACGGCCCACCAAGGCGACGAUCGGUAGCCGGACUGAGAGGUUGAACGGCCACAUUGGGACUGAGACACGGCCCAGACUCCUACGGGAGGCAGCAGUGGGGAAUAUUGCACAAUGGGGGAAACCCUGAUGCAGCGACGCCGCGUGGAGGAAGAAGGUCUUCGGAUUGUAAACUCCUGUUGUUGAGGAAGAUAAUGACGGUACUCAACAAGGAAGUGACGGCUAACUACGUGCCAGCAGCCGCGGUAAAACGUAGGUCACAAGCGUUGUCCGGAAUUACUGGGUGUAAAGGGAGCGCAGGCGGGAAGACAAGUUGGAAGUGAAAUCCAUGGGCUCAACCCAUGAACUGCUUUCAAAACUGUUUUUCUUGAGUAGUGCAGAGGUAGGCGGAAUUCCCGGUGUAGCGGUGGAAUGCGUAGAUAUCGGGAGGAACACCAGUGGCGAAGGCGGCCUACUGGGCACCAACUGACGCUGAGGCUCGAAAGUGUGGGUAGCAAACAGGAUUAGAUACCCUGGUAGUCCACACUGUAAACGAUGAUUACUAGGUGUUGGAGGAUUGACCCCUUCAGUGCCGCAGUUAACACAAUAAGUAAUCCACCUGGGGAGUACGACCGCAAGGUUGAAACUCAAAGGAAUUGACGGGGGCCCGCACAAGCAGUGGAGUAUGUGGUUUAAUUCGACGCAACGCGAAGAACCUUACCAAGUCUUGACAUCCCUUGACGAUGCUGGAAACAGUAUUUCUCUUCGAAGCAAGGAGACAGGUGGUGCAUGGUUGUCGUCAGCUCGUGUCGUGAGAUGUUGGGUUAAGUCCCGCAACGAGCGCAACCCUUAUGGUCAGUUACUACGCAAGAGGACUCUGGCCAGACUGCCGUUGACAAAACGGAGGAAGGUGGGGAUGACGUCAAAUCAUCAUGCCCUUUAUGACUUGGGCUACACACGUACUACAAUGGCGUUAAGCAAAGAGAAGCAAGACCGCGAGGUGGAGCAAAACUCAGAAACAACGUCCCAGUUCGGACUGCAGGCUGCAACUCGCCUGCACGAAGUCGGAAUUGCUAGUAAUCGCAGAUCAGCAUGCUGCGGUGAAUACGUUCCCGGGCCUUGUACACACCGCCCGUCACACCAUGAGAGCCGGGGGGACCCGAAGUCGGUAGUCUAACCGCAAGGAGGACGCCGCCGAAGGUAAAACUGGUGAUUGGGGUGAAGUCGUAACAAGGUA
rnacentral:rRNA from 1 species